CCUACGGGUGUCAGCAGUGAGGAAUAUUGGUCAAUGGGCUUACGCCUGAACCAGCCAAGUCGCGUGAGGGAAGACUGCCCUAUGGGUUGUAAACCUCUUUUGUCAGGGAGCAAUUGGCGCUACGUGUAGCGUUAUCGAGAGUACCUGAAGAAAAGGCAUGGGCUAACUCCGUGCCAGCAGCCGCGGUAAUACGGGGGAUGCGAGCGUUAUCCGGUUUUAUUGGGUUAAAAGGGGGCGUAGGCGGAAUGUAAAGUCAGCGGUAAAAUCGGGGGGCCCAACCUAGCUUCGCCAUUGAAACUGGCGUUCUUGAGUGGGCGUGAAGUAUGCGGAAUGCGUGGUGUAGCGGUGAAAUGCAUAGAUAUCACGAAGAACUCCGAUUGUGAAGGCAGCAUACCGGCGCCCAACUGACGCUGAAGCACGAAAGUGUGGGUAUCGAACAGGAUUAGAUACCCGAGUAGUC
rnacentral:rRNA from 1 species